GGCGAUGGCCUUAUUAUGAGUU
rnacentral:siRNA from 1 species